rnacentral:rRNA from 1 species
AAUAGAUACCCAGGUAGUCCACGCCGUAAACGAUGAGUGCUAAGUGUUAGGGGGUUUCCGCCCCUUAGUGCUGCAGCUAACGCAUUAAGCACUCCGCCUGGGGAGUACGGUCGCAAGACUGAAACUCAAAGGAAUUGACGGGGGCCCGCACAAGCGGUGGAGCAUGUGGUUUAAUUCGAAGCAACGCGAAGAACCUUACCAGGUCUUGACAUCCCAUUGACCACUAUGGAGACAUAGUUUUCCCUUCGGGGACAACGGUGACAGGUGGUGCAUGGUUGUCGUCAGCUCGUGUCGUGAGAUGUUGGGUUAAGUCCCGCAACGAGCGCAACCCUUGUUCUUAGUUGCCAUCAUUUAGUUGGGCACUCUAAGGAGACUGCCGGUGACAAACCGGAGGAAGGUGGGGAUGACGUCAAAUCAUCAUGCCCCUUAUGACCUGGGCUACACACGUGCUACAAUGGACGGUACAAACGGUUGCCAACCCGCGGAGGGGAGCUAAUCCAAUAAAACCGUUCUCAGUUCGGAUUGUAGGCUGCAACUCGCCUACA